rnacentral:rRNA from 1 species
CACUUCGCUGACGAGUGGCGGACGGGUGAGUAAUGCUUGGGAACUUGCCUUUGCGAGGGGGAUAACAGUUGGAAACGACUGCUAAUACCGCAUAAUGUCUACGGACCAAACGGGGCUUAGGCUCCGGCGCAAAGAGAGGCCCAAGUGAGAUUAGCUAGUUGGUAAGGUAAAGGCUUACCAAGGCAACGAUCUCUAGCUGUUCUGAGAGGAAGAUCAGCCACACUGGAACUGAGACACGGUCCAGACUCCUACGGGAGGCAGCAGUGGGGAAUAUUGCACAAUGGGGGGAACCCUGAUGCAGCCAUGCCGCGUGUGUGAAGAAGGCCUUCGGGUUGUAAAGCACUUUCAGUUGUGAGGAAAAGUUAGUAGUUAAUACCUGCUAGCCGUGACGUUAACAACAGAAGAAGCACCGGCUAACUCCGUGCCAGCAGCCGCGGUAAUACGGAGGGUGCGAGCGUUAAUCGGAAUUACUGGGCGUAAAGCGCACGCAGGCGGUUUGUUAAGCUAGAUGUGAAAGCCCCGGGCUCAACCUGGGAUGGUCAUUUAGAACUGGCAGACUAGAGUCUUGGAGAGGGGAGUGGAAUUCCAGGUGUAGCGGUGAAAUGCGUAGAUAUCUGGAGGAACAUCAGUGGCGAAGGCGACUCCCUGGCCAAAGACUGA